rnacentral:rRNA from 1 species
ACAUGCAGUCGAGCGGAACGAGUUAUCUGAACCUUCGGGGGACGAUAACGGCGUCGAGCGGCGGACGGGUGAGUAAUGCCUAGGAAAUUGCCCUGAUGUGGGGGAUAACCAUUGGAAACGAUGGCUAAUACCGCAUAAUACCUACGGGUCAAAGAGGGGGACCUUCGGGCCUCUCGCGUCAGGAUAUGCCUAGGUGGGAUUAGCUAGUUGGUGAGGUAAUGGCUCACCAAGGCGACGAUCCCUAGCUGGUCUGAGAGGAUGAUCAGCCACACUGGAACUGAGACACGGUCCAGACUCCUACGGGAGGCAGCAGUGGGGAAUAUUGCACAAUGGGCGCAAGCCUGAUGCAGCCAUGCCGCGUGUGUGAAGAAGGCCUUCGGGUUGUAAAGCACUUUCAGUCGUGAGGAAGGUAGUGUAGUUAAUAGCUGCAUUAUUUGACGUUAGCGACAGAAGAAGCACCGGCUAACUCCGUGCCAGCAGCCGCGGUAAUACGGAGGGUGCGAGCGUUAAUCGGAAUUACUGGGCGUAAAGCGCAUGCAGGUGGUUUGUUAAGUCAGAUGUGAAAGCCCGGGGCUCAACCUCGGAAUAGCAUUUGAAACUGGCAGACUAGAGUACUGUAGAGGGGGGUAGAAUUUCAGGUGUAGCGGUGAAAUGCGUAGAGAUCUGAAGGAAUACCGGUGGCGAAGGCGGCCCCCUGGACAGAUACUGACACUCAGAUGCGAAAGCGUGGGGGAGCAAACAGGAUUAGAUACCCUGGUAGUCCACGCCGUAAACGAUGUCUACUUGGAGGUUGUGGCCUUGAGCCGUGGCUUUCGAGCUAACGCGUUAAGUAGACCGCCUGGGGGAGUACGGUCGCAAGAUUAAAACUCAAUGAAUUGACGGGGGCCCGCACAAGCGGUGCAGCAUGUGUUUAAUUCGAUGCAACGCGAGACUUACCUACUCUUGACAUCCAGAGAACUUUCAGAGAUUGAUGGUGCUUCGGGAACUCUGAGACAGUGACUGCAUGCUGUCGUCAGCUCAUGUUGUGAAUGUGGAUAGUCCGCCACACGCACCCUGAUCUGCUUGCACACUCGCUCGACUCAAGAACUGCGUGAUACGAGAGUGGACGACUCAGUCAUGCUACAGUUGCUACCAGUCUG